UACGUAGGGUGCAAGCGUUAAUCGGAAUCACUGGGCGUAAAGCGCACGUAGGCGGACUCUUAAGUCGGUGGUGAAAUCCUGGAGCUCAACUCCAGAACUGCCUUCGAUACUGGGAGUCUUGAGUUCGGGAGAGGUGAGUGGAACUGCGAGUGUAGAGGUGAAAUUCGUAGAUAUUCGCAAGAACACCAGUGGCGAAGGCGGCUCACUGGCCCGAUACUGACGCUGAGGUGCGAAAGCGUGGGGAGCAAACAGG
rnacentral:rRNA from 1 species